GAUGAACGCUGGCGGCGUGCCUAAUACAUGCAAGUCGAGCGAACGGACGAGAAGCUUGCUUCUCUGAUGUUAGCGGCUGACGGGUGAGUAACACGUGGAUAACCUACCUAUAAGACUGGGAUAACUUCGGGAAACCGGAUCUAAUACCGGAUAAUAUUUUGAACCGCAUGGUUCAAAAGUGAAAGACGGUCUUGCUGUCACUUAUAUAUGGAUCCGCGCUGCAUUAGCUAGUUGGUAAGGUAACGGCUUACCAAGGCAACGAUGCAUAGCCGACCUGAGAGGGUGAUCGGCCACACUGGAACUGAGACACGGUCCAGACUCCUACGGGAGGCAGCAGUAGGGAAUCUUCCGCAAUGGGCGAAAGCCUGACGGAGCAACGCCGCGUGAGUGAUGAAGGUCUUCGGAUCGUAAAACUCUGUUAUUAGGGAAGAAAAUAUGUGUAAGUAACUGUGCACAUCUUGACGGUACCUAAUCAGAAAGCAACGGCUAACUACGUG
rnacentral:rRNA from 1 species